rnacentral:tRNA from 1 species
GUCCCGGUGGUCUAAUGGAUAAGACGGUAGAUUCCGGUUCUAUUGAUACGGGUUCGAUUCCUGUCCGGGACACCA